AGGGGAGUGAAAAAGAACCUGAAACCGUGUACGUACAAGCAGUGGGAGCACAGGUUUACCUGUGUGACUGCGUACCUUUUGUAUAAUGGGUCAGCGACUUAUAUUCUGUAGCAAGGUUAACCGUAUAGGGGAGCCGGAGGGAAACCGAGUCUUAACCGGGCGUUAAGUUGCAGGGUAUAGACCCGAAACCCGGUGAUCUAGCCAUGGGCAGGUUGAAGGUUGGGUAACACUAACUGGAGGACCGAACCGACUAAUGUUGAAAAAUUAGCGGAUGACCUGUGGCUGGGGGUGAAAGGCCAAUCAAACCGGGAGAUAGCUGGUUCUCCCCGAAAGCUAUUUAGGUAGCGCCUCGUGAAUUCAUCUCCGGGGGUAGAGCACUGUUUCGGCUAGGGGGCCAUCCCGGCUUACCAACCCGAUGCAAACUGCGAAUACCGGAGAAUGUUAUCACGGGAGACACACGGCGGGUGCUAACGUCCGUCGUGAAGAGGGAAACAACCCAGACCGCCAGCUAAGGUCCCAAAGUCAUGGUUAAGUGGGAAACGAUGUGGGAAGGCCCAGACAGCCAGGAUGUUGGCUUAGAAGCAGCCAUCAUUUAAAGAAAGCGUAAUAGCUCACUGGUCGAGUCGGCCUGCGCGGAAGAUGUAACGGGGCUAAACCAUGCACCGAAGCUGCGGCAGCGACACUGUGUGUUGUUGGGUAGGGGAGCGUUCUGUAAGCCUGUGAAGGUGUGUCGUGAGGCAUGCUGGAGGUAUCAGAAGUGCGAAUGCUGACAUAAGUAACGAUAAAGCGGGUGAAAAGCCCGCUCGCCGGAAGACCAAGGGUUCCUGUCCAACGUUAAUCGGGGCAGGGUGAGUCGACCCCUAAGGCGAGGCCGAAAGGCGUAGUCGAUGGGAAACGGGUUAAUAUUCCCGUACUUGGUGUUACUGCGAAGGGGGGACGGAGAAGGCUAUGUUGGCCGGGCGACGGUUGUCCCGGUUUAAGCGUGUAGGCUGGUUUUCCAGGCAAAUCCGGAAAAUCAAGGCUGAGGCGUGACGACGAGGCACUACGGUGCUGAAGCAACAAAUGCCCUGCUUCCAGGAAAAGCCUCUAAGCAUCAGGUAACACGAAAUCGUACCCCAAACCGACACAGGUGGUCAGGUAGAGAAUACCAAGGCGCUUGAGAGAACUCGGGUGAAGGAACUAGGCAAAAUGGUGCCGUAACUUCGGGAGAAGGCACGCUGACAUGUAGGUGAAGUGAUUUACUCAUGGAGCUGAAGUCAGUCGAAGAUACCAGCUGGCUGCAACUGUUUAUUAAAAACACAGCACUGUGCAAACACGAAAGUGGACGUAUACGGUGUGACGCCUGCCCGGUGCCGGAAGGUUAAUUGAUGGGGUCAGCGCAAGCGAAGCUCCUGAUCGAAGCCCCGGUAAACGGCGGCCGUAACUAUAACGGUCCUAAGGUAGCGAAAUUCCUUGUCGGGUAAGUUCCGACCUGCACGAAUGGCGUAAUGAUGGCCAGGCUGUCUCCACCCGAGACUCAGUGAAAUUGAACUCGCUGUGAAGAUGCAGUGUACCCGCGGCAAGACGGAAAGACCCCGUGAACCUUUACUAUAGCUUGACACUGAACAUUGAGCCUUGAUGUGUAGGAUAGGUGGGAGGCUUUGAAGUGUGGAC
rnacentral:rRNA from 1 species